UGUAAAAUAAUGAAUAAUGUAGGUGACCACUGAGAAAAAGAGAAAAAAGGGUGUUCGUAUGAACUGUAUGAUGAUUGAUGGAAAUAAUUGGUAUUUAACAAAACAUUUUCCCAUGCUAAUUAUGUUUGGCAAGAACUCUGCCACUGGUUUUUGAAAGUCACUUAACUUUCACUUUCAAAACUUUCAAUCCCUAGCACAAUGACGAUUAAGUCUAGACACUAAAUGUUCGGACACGGUUUUAAGCACAUGAAUGUUAACAUGUUCUGGUUUCUCUGCGUCUCUGUAUCAGAAGUGACUGUAUCUCUGGUUUUCGGACAAAACAGAACAAUCUUUCUACACGAAUAAUGUAGGAGACAGCGAUCUACGAACAGGUUCUUAAGUCAAAAUAAGGAGAUACCAUCUGACAGGACCUGUGCUGGAUCCCACAAAUCAGUGCAACUGUGAAGACGGCCAGACCAAGUCUAUUCUACCUCAGAGGAAUGAGGGACUUCUGGCUCCCCCUCGAGGUGCUCAGGAACUUUUACACCUGUACUAUUGAGAUCAUCUUGUGUGGGUGCAGCACUAUAUGGACAGGAAGCUGGACUUUUGGCCCUUAAAGGACAGUCCAUUCAGCCAUGUGUACCAUCAGAACCACCCUCCAAAACUUGCAGGACAUUUACACAAAACCUUCCGGGACUAUGGGUCCGGAGAUCCUUAAACAGCCCAUCCACCUCGAAAAUUAUCUCCUCUCUCCUCUGCCAUCAGACCAGCAUCUCAGCUGCCUGAGAAUCAAGACAGAGAGGAAAAAAAGAAAAGGCCAUCCGUCUGCUCAACCUCGGACAUUAAAAAUUGUGUUCCAUACUAGCCUGUCAUUGGAUGAUGGCUG